AGAGGCAUCUUUAUUACCAUAUUAAAGACUUUAUAUUUUAACAGAUUCAGUAUAAAUAUACCAACACUAAACACCUCACAUUAUUCACCAAAUUAUUAUUACAACCUGUUAAAUCUACCCUCUAUGUUUUCUAACACCUCAAAGUAUUUUGUUAGAAAUUUUUCUUGAUUUGAUACUGAUAAAAACACUGUUGUUAUAGUCAAAUAUGACUUGAUGUAUUUAUCAAUAAAUGAAAAAAAAUUGAUUUUAUUGCACUCCUAUCAGAUACUUGAUACCUUAAAGUGCCAAUUAACCUAUCGGUGUGAUUUCAUUGGGGAAAAAUGCAGCCAUUUUAUGGUUAUUUGGAUAAUUUACGACCAAAACUCCUCAAUUAUCGCAUAUAAACUGUACCUCCAGGCGGGUGUUUCAUUAGGCUGUUCGUAAGUUACAGCGACCAUCGCCAAUGAAUAUACCAUUUACCGCAAUAAAGGAUCACCAGUCGAUAUUAAAGUCGCUCUUAACUUACGAACAGCUUUAUGAAACGGCCCCCAGGUGCGUUUGUCCCUCAUCUGAAGCCCCAUCCACACGUAUGCAAUCGAUGGGCUUCUUCAUAUCACUUGCAAAUUCAUCCAUUUUGCUCUUCAUGUACAUGUCAGCCAUGUGCUGCGAUGGGUCCUUCGGAUAAAGUGGAUGAGCCUUGACAACACCAAGCACCUUUUGAGCUGUAUUUUCAGUCUCCAUGAUGAGAUGCAUGGAAGUCUGUAGAACUGACUUAUACUUGUUGACAUAAUCAGUAUGUGUGGUGAACUCUGGCUUUUCUUUCAAUGACACAGUUUUAUACUGCUUGUGCGUGUAUGUUGUGCCAAGUCGGAAUCCUGCGGCAUCAUCUCUGUUCAGCACCAAUUUAUUAUGCCCACCUUGCAAUUGUAGGGUAUCCAGAUCCCUGUAAAAGGUGUUGCUCCAGUGACUGUCCACAUUGAGUCGAAUAUUCCAGCCUCUACGGGCCCUCCUAGAUGUGGAUUAAACUGCUGCUGCUUCCUUCUCUCACUUGAAAUUGUUUGGUAUUAAGGCUAGUAUAGAUGUUUUCCAGCAAGUGGAGUGGCGUCUCCUGAUCAGAAUCUGCAACCAUGCCAGCGCCAUCUUCAUCAACAUCCCCUCUGUCCUCCACAUAAGAUUCUCCAUCUACCCUAUCAUCUAUUUUGAUGCCAUCCAUAUUCCUCUCAUCAGAACCUUCAACUAAUCCACUUGUGCUUGGCUUUCAAGUUUCCCUACUUCUUUCCUCCAUGUUUUUUGCCUCUUCCUCAUCUGCCGGUAAAUACUCCAUGAACUUUCGCUUCUUCGAUGAAUGUCCAUUGCUUACACUUCGUUCUUCUGUGUUAUCCUUCUUUUCUUCAAGGCAUUAGACUUGUUUCUAUUUCUUCUCCAGUUUGAGCUUCCUCAAUUUCAGUUUGAGUUCUGAACUUUGUUGCUCAAAAGAUGCUGCUUGACCAAAUUGGUUUGAGGUCAUAGCUCUCUCUAUUCCCUUGUCAAGAAAUUUAAUCUAGGUCUCCAUACUCUGCAUUCUUUCAGCGAUCUCUCCAAGACGCUCUUCUCUCACAACUUCUUUGGAGUAUUCUGAAGUCUUCUUCUGUUUCUUAAUACCCCCAAAAAACUCGCUUCUGGUCUUUUUUUUCCACGGGCAUAUUUAUACACACGUUCCCUUGCCUUUUCUAGGAGGAGUCCUUUCUUGCCCAACAGAGAUGGGUCAGCUUUAGUGAGAUGAAAAGCAGCUUCAUUUAUCUUCUUUUGGUAUUUGUUCACAUUCUUGCCACCUUUCCCAAAUAUUUUUGCUGUCUCUCUCUUCCACUUCUUCGUUGGCAAGAUCAAUCUGAGGUGGAGUUUGACUGGGUGGUUCAUGACUGAUGGACAGCUUUGCACCUGCAAACUUAAGGGUUGUCUGACUUGUCCUAGGAGGGUCCUCUUCACAAGAUUUACUUGUACAGCAUCACGUUCUGAUGAAGAGAAUGCUCCCUUAUUGCUUGUAGAUGGCACUCCCAGAUGCACUGUAGAAACUGAUGCUCGUUGCAGCGGUGAUGCAAAAUGUGAUUUGAUCUUAUCAUUCUCAACUGGUACAUGGUCAUCAUAAUCGAUGUAAUCCUCGAAUCCUUUAUCAUAAUAUACGCUGACAUCAAAGGGCUGCAAUUUCGGGACAUGCUUUUACGGCUUCCUGUUGGCAUUCGUGGAGUGUUUGGGUCCGAACAGGCUUCUUGGUGAUUUCUUUGCCGUCUACCUGGAUGAUCGCUAAAAUGCAAGGAGCAGCCAUAGCAGUGCCCUGUUGGUGUCCUGUUAAGAAGACAAGAAACAAUUAGGACAAGAGUUAAUUGAAAGUUAAAGGGGACCUGUUAUGCAAGUAUUGGUGGCACUCGUUAUGUCAGUGUAGUUUUAUAAAUUGAUCACCUUUUACAGGCUUGAUAUAUCUUCUUCAAACAAUUUUGUUUCCAUUUGCUAAUGUCAAAAUACAAACAAUAUUAUUUUAUACAAUGACUCAUAAUUCUAUACCAGCGCCGAGUCAUUACGCUUAUUUCGGGAAACAUUUUUAUGUUAUAAAUAAAUAAACGGGCGGUUACGUUUAACCUAUUUUGCAAAUGGGGGGGUAAGAAUUCACUGAAAAACACCUAAACAAAUUACAUGUACCAUAAUAUUCUUUAAGUCAUACCAAACUGUUUUUAAAUGAAUUUAGAAUAUAUAUCUCAAAAUUCAAGGUAUGUAUACAAUGAUAAUUUGUGUUUACCUGGCAGGCUCCUUUCCUAUAUAUGCAGAGAAAUAAUCCAGUACUGUGUAUCUUUCCUUGUCCAGUGUGAAUAUUUUCUUCAAAGAUCUCCAAACUUUUUUUUUUAGUUUACAUACGUACACUGUAUAAUGCCACCAUUGUUUAGAAACCUGACGCAAAGAUCAAGCUUUCUUUCUUGCAAUCUUGCUGAACUUAGAUCAAUAAACCAACAAAUUCUAAUAUAUUCCUCAAAUAUGAUGUAGCAGUACAACAAACAGAAGGAAUAUGGUCAUGAAUGCAUACAUGUACAUCUAGUCAUAUGUUUAUCAAAAUAUGUACCCUAGUUCUAAACAUGCAUGCGUGCAUUUCUAGUUUUACAAGAAACGAUAUAAAAUACUCUGUCAAGUUGACAAAUAUUGUGAGAAUACCUCUUCCUUCCUUAUCUGUGAGUUUUUUCUUGUCUCCAUCAUGACCACUGUCAUUGGACUCAGACUCAUAGUCAUUUGAUGCCAAUUUCCUUUUUGGUGCAAGUGGCACUGACACUGCAAGGGUAAAGUAAAGAAGAAAAGAUUGAUGGCAAUAUUAUUGACUAAUUACCAGAAAUUUUUACAUUAUCAGGUAAUGUGUAUACAGUUGCUGCACAUAUGUUGGUCCCCCUCCCUCCUCUUCAUCUUUUUAAAAGUAUAACUAUUUAUAUUUUCAAGUUAAUUUCAAGUCACCCACCAAAAGUGAGAGAUUAAAACAAAUAAUAUCCAAAAAGAACUGAAGGGUAUAGGACUAUAGGAAUAUCAGUAUUAUAACAUGAAAAGUAAGGAAAGAUGAAGAAUAGAAAUGCAAUCAUAUGCUUGUAGUGUGUAUGACAACCAAUGUGAGGUGAAAUUUGACAAAGAACAUACAUAUCAUAAGAAAUACAUUUUUUAAGGAUAAUUUGAAAGAAUUUACUGAAACUGCAUGCUUAAGUGAAUCUGGCAAAUUGUUCCAGACCCAUGUGGCGGAGAACAUAAAAGAUUUCUUUAAGCAUAUAAUAUUAGGUUUAGGAAGAACCAAAUUUAGUGCAUUAUACUUAUUUGUUCCGACAUCAUGUCUUUCACAAACCAUUUCAAGAAAACGAGAUGGGGUCAUUCCCAUUUAUGGCCAUUCCAUGAAUACAUUUUGAAACUAUAGGCCUACAUGUACAUCAAGUUUUUUAAAAUAAUUAAAAAAAACAGUCCCUUCUUUGUUCAAUACAUGCCCAUUUAAUAUCCUUAAUAAUCUGUAACCCCCCCCCCCCCCCAAAAAAAAAGGCCUCUCAAUUUACAAUCUGUUCCCCACUAGAUUUUCUAGGGCAUUAGAACCAGUUUUAUUUCCUUAGACCAAUAUUGCAUAGAAUAUUAUGUAGUCAAAACAGGGUUGCAUAUUGAAUUUAUAUAGAUUUACUUAUACUAUUGUCUGUAGAUCUAGACCCUGUAGGCCUACAGUCUAUACUCAUGUAGUUCUAGAUUUACAUGUAGACCCUUUUUCACUCCUCAAAAGUUUUCUAAAUAGGUCUAGAUCUAGAGAAAAGUAAGGAUUUGGUCUAGACUUCCAGGAAAUCACUGUGAGGUCAUGCAGUCUGACAAAUUGAGGUGCUUGUCAUUGACCAUUGCUUCCACUUUCUGAAGUGUAUGGGUUUGGAGCUUUUCAACAUCGUUUUAGAGGUAGCUGUUGUGGUUUUCUCAACUUCGUCUGCCUAUUUUGUUCAGUGAGUAAGUGGCAUCCCUGAACAUGAAGUUCUCGUUUAGUUUCAGUACUUCAAGGAAUUUGUCAAUCUCUGUAGCCUUGUCAUCUUGGGCAUUAGCGAGAUAGGGUGCUUUAGUGAUUGUGGCUGCUUUCUUGAGGAGGUAAUAGUCCCCAAUCUUCAAGCCUGGCUUAAGUUCUUUUGUAUCAUUGUCUCGUGUGAAAGUUCCUUCACUUUCAACAAGCACCUGAAAAUUAGUAUGGUCAAAUAAGUCACUGUUGUGCACUACUAGCUCAAGCAUCCCCUGAUUUAAUUGGAGAAGCCUCUCUUGGUAUUCUUUGUGCUGAUCCACAACAGUACAAGAUGACUUGCUCUUCCUAGUUUUCUUGAGGACAAUCUUACUUGUCCCACCAACACUUGAUCCCUCCAUAGGGUCCUCUGUAAAAUCUUUCCAGAGAUCAGUUUAUGAACAUUGAUGACACUCCCUUUAGCUAAGUGUUGAAGCAAACAUCUGCGUUAGUACAAACAAAGUAUAUCAGAGACUUUGCCUUGCAUAGCACCUAACACGGCUUGGCCAAGUGACCAGAAAUGAAGUCCAUGAGAUGAGGGAUCCCAAAGUUUCCCUUAAGAGAAGUCCAUCUCUGGCCCAGAAAAUAGGUUGGUUGGGAACAGAUGUUCGACGUCCACUGUUAGUACAAACUGUAUAUCAGAGACUUGGCCUCGCAUAGCACCUAACAUAGCUUGGCCAAAUGGCCAGAGAUGAAGGUUAUGAGGCGAGGGAUCCCAAAGUUGUCGCUCAGGUGAAGUCCAUCUCUGGCCCAGAGAAUAGGUUGGUUGGUUGAGAACAGAUGAUCGAUGUCCACUGCUAGUACAGGGGUGACUUGCACACAUCGGUCUAAUUAUCAGAAGAACCAAACAUAUUUUACAUCUAUAUCAUUAACAUCCAUAACACUAUAGUAGUGUAUCAAUCAUACCUGAAUCGAACACCUCUGAUUUCAAAGAAGAUUUCAGUGUUAUGCUUGUCAACUCUUUUUGUUUGAAUGGACUUUCCCCAUUUGACCCCUGUGAAGCGAUUUGUCCAUACAUGUAAGUCAUAAUGUGUGAACUUGUUUAACUCACGCAUGCACAUACAUGUACAUAUAUAAAUGUGAAUGAUUAUUAUACAUGUUUAUAGUGGACUCAUUACAGAUAAAGUGUCUUCACAAUUCAUACCAGCCUAAUGAAUAAAAAAUACCGUCUUUCUCUUUCUCCUUUUCUUGGUGGCUUUGUCUCUCCGACUAAUGGAGAUUGGGGUAGCAUAACACUUGAUAAGCUAAGCCCAGAUGUUUUCUUCUGCUGUGCAACAUGUGCAUAAAGGAUGAGCACAUUAAAACUUGUUUCUGGAAUGUGCCUCCCUGGUGGCAACACUGGCGUUACUGUUGGUUGAGCUCUUCUCCUUGGAAUGACGUUCCCAUCCCAGUCCAUUCUCCAUUUUUGUUGGGUACAGCCAUGCUUCUUCCUUCUGUAUCUUUCCUGUAAAUUGCAUUUGAGUUCCUUGGGAAGAUAUGAGGUACUAGGUUUACAUAGAGAACUUUCCUCAUCUCCUUCAAGAAAGCUUUCGCUAAUCAUGUCUUUUCUCUUGAUAUGAGAUGCAGACCAUCCCAUCUAUGAUAUCUAUCAUCAACAGUGAAACAGUCUGGUGAAGCAACAAAUUCACAGAAUGCUGUAUUUGCCCUGAAAUCGUCAAGUUUUAAAUAAAAAAAAACACUAGCUUCACACAAAUCCUGGCUGUCCCGCCUGGGAGGUAUCCCACUGAAGAUUAUUGUGGCACGCGGAUAUAGUUCUCUAACAGCAAAACACAAGCGUUUAGGUAUACUCUUUUCAGUCCAGUCCCAUACACCACAAUUCAAAAUUGUUCCUACGUGAAGGAUCUCAAUUUCAACAUCUGCCAUACAUGUAUUUACAUUGUUUUUGAUGAAAUGUAGGCAGCACCAGAACAAAUACCAAAGCAUGAGCUUAUUGUUGUUUUUACGAGAACAAUUGUCGCAGUGAAGACUUAUUCCCUUCCCUCUUUAUUAAUUUCCAAAUGGAUAGGCAGGAAGAAGGGAUGAAGAGUAUAUUGCAGUUUGUCUGCGAUAUUAUUAAGAACCAAUGGCAUUCUCUCGAAAUCCGAACUUGCUUCUUAAGCAUAUUGAGAUUUAUUUGGAGUAGCCUCUCUUGGUAUUGUUUGCAGAUCCACAGCAGAAAAGGAUGAUUUGCUCUUCCUGUUUUUCUUUGGAACAAUCUGUCCCACCUACACUUGAUCCUUGCAUAGGAUCCUCUGCACCCUCACUAGCCUGGAGAGAAGUUCUUCCCGGAGAGAAGUUUAUGAACAUUGACGACACUCGCUUUUGAAGUAAACACUACCAUAAGUACAAACAGAAGUUCAUAUCAAGUAAUAUCCAGUCAUUAAUUUAAUGUAGUCUCUGUAUUUUUUUUCUCUUGAUAUCGAUAGCAUAAUUCAUAGUUGCUACAGUUUUGAAAAAUGUUUCAAAGCCCUUAAUGACUUAAUUUUGUGUCACCUGAUAUGUAAAAUAAAUCAUACAAAUUUCAUUAAUAAUCAAGUGUUUUUUUCCACUCUUAAUUGUAUGUUAUUCCAUCUUAGAUAGUGAGUUCAUGAUGAUAAUUGCAAAUCAAGUUCCACUUUUGGUCUACUUUAAGCUACAUAAAAUAUUUGAACUCAAAUCCAUAUCAUUUGACCAUGAAAUUAUUCCAAAUAUAACUAUUUGUUGCUUUAUAAGUAGCAUAUUUAAAUCGCGCGUGUACAUUGUACUUUGCAAUACAUUUCAAAAUGGAUUUUCUCAUAAAGAGAAUACCUGAUCAGGCUGAUAUUUGCAGUAUUAGUAGUCUGUAACGAGUACUUGGAAAAUCUACAGUUUAGGUAACUAUUCUAUCAAGACAUGUGUGGGUUAAAAACACUUGAUUACUAAUGAAAAUUGUAUGAAUCUUUGAUUUUUAUGAUUAUCAGCUGUAUUGUCAUGAGAGGAUAGGUACUUAAUCUGUAGAUCCUCCUUAAGGAUAUAAAAUAUUACCCAUUUAGUGUGAUAAACUGAUACCUUUCUGGGAUAAUAACAACUCCACCAAAUAAAUAAACUCUGUGAGAAAUUACUGAUGAUUGAAAAUUAUGUAGUAGUAAAAAUACUUUUGUCCCAUGUGCAAGAAUUUAAUCAUUAUAUGUCAUGGGAUUAGCAAUAAUGUGGGCUCAUGCCUGCAGGCAACAGUGUAAAAUUUCACUUUUUUACCUUAUGACCUACUCCCACAUUUUUUGCAGGUUUUUACUACAAUUGUUUGUUUCUAGUGUUAUAUAUUUGUGGUCAAACAAAUCAAAAUUUUCAUGGAGGUGAUGAUGAUGAUAAUAAUAGUAUCAUUAUUAUAGACUAGUAAGGCUCACCUUUGGCC
rnacentral:lncRNA from 1 species